rnacentral:tRNA from 1 species
GGGCCUUAGCUCAGCUGGGAGAGCGCAUCGCUGGCAGUGAUGAGGUCGUCGGUUCAAUCCCGAUAGGGUCCACCA